UUCAGGCGACGCGCAAUCAAUAAGCGUUUUUAUACUUGCCGUAUGAGAGCAAUAACGCUCACAACUGGAACCAGGAGGUAGACUCGUUAAUUAAAGUGCUGGUAAAACGAUUGUUAACAGCAAUCAAAACUCCCCCUCCUGAAGUCUUAUCGGAAUUCGAAGUUGUACGGUCACAGCGAACGCAUACACGUCGUAGUCGAGCUCGAGCGAAGAUAAAAAAACGGCCUCAAGUCUUUUCCUGCUGCGGAUGCUGUUAACGUUCUGGUAGAUUGAUACGUGCCCGAAACAGAGACUCGUUGGGGAAAUUUUGAGACGGUAAACUAUUGCUGGCAGAACGAGAUCUGCAUUGUUCGAUCCGUGCGCCGUGCCAAAGAGGAAUCGGCGAUUGGCUGAUCAGCACUGACUGUUGGUUGAGCGACGGGAGCAGCGGCAGUGGAGACGGUAGAGAGAUGUUGCGGUCCGAAGC